AGCCUGGGCUGCGCUGCAAGUCACCGCUUUAAUGUCUUUGUGAAGAUCAGGAGAGGAUCCUGUGUGUCUCAGGGAUGCUGUAAGGAUAUUUGAAGGGGUUUGGUAUGUCCGUCUCGUGGCCCUGCACAAGACCGUCCCCAAGAGUCACACCGUGUGCGUGAGAGCAGUGUCCAAGCACUUCUCACGCUUGGUGCUGCAGGCACUUCCCGGGGGAGCCCAAGGGCCGAUGGAGCCUGUGAGCAUCCUUACUCAAGCUCUGCCAGGAGCACCUACACCACACAUUGUACGUGUGUCCCUGGGCACAGUACCUUUAUGACUUGUAGCACGUUUUUUCCACACCUUUCCAGCACUUCUGUCUGAGCCAUUGUUGUUCACAGCAAUGAGCGAACGGCUGCCCUGUGAUCCUGCAGCCAGUCCUAUAGGAAAAGCCACACCUAACACCACCCUUCAAUGCAUUUGUUAACCUUGUACGGACAUGUCCUAGCAAGGGAUGACUUGAAAACUCAAGAAAAUGCAGGCACUAGGAGAUCCAGGCAGCUCUGGAUAGAGUGAAGCACUUCUUGUAGGACUACAGAUCAGGUUCACAUAUGACCUCUGCCAUGUGUGCCUCUGGAGGAGUGAAGCUGCAAAACCACAGAUGGAAAGGACUGUGGGAGAGCCCGAAGACUGAACAUUAAACUGAGAGCAAGAUGUUUGAAAGGUGUGAUAGUGUUUAUUUUUAUCAUUUUAUCAUUAUCAUGAAACCUCCCUCCUUCCAUAAAUUUUUGGAGAAGUCAAUAAUUUAAAAAUUCAGACAUGUAGUUAUGUUUUUAUCCAGAAUAACUAAGAUUCUUUCCAUGAUAAUUGGCUUCAUUAUUCUUUUGAAAUCUCACACUUACAGAAUUUGAUUGAAUUUGAACAACAUAAGUUUUUAUGUUUCUGAGCAGGUCUGAUAUAAGUAUUUGCAGGACAAUGUGAUGUGAUGGGUUUGUACAUUUGUUAAUACUCCCUAGCAAAGGAAAUAGUUUUGGCUAUAUGCUGGGAUUUGUUUACAACUUGUCUUAGUGAACCAAAAUUUGGAAAAACAAUGUGGACUAUUCUAAAUUUUUCACAAUGUUGUAAGAUGGUGCAGAACAGACUUACCUAUCUCUGUCAGCAGGAAGGGUGAUAUGUGUUGUGAUUAUUUGUUACUGUAAACUUUAUUGAACUUUUGCUGUAGCACAUUGACAGUCCAAGAUAAUUUAAUAUGGGUUUUUUGCAAGGCCUGGCUGAGCCACCCCAUGCUGCAGUAUGAACAAACUAUGGUGUUGAAGUCCCAGCUGUUUAAGCCUUUUGACUCUCACAUUUUACCUUUCCCAUGAAACUGUCUUUCCUGACGCUCAGUUUAAGAAGAGUUACUUGCUCAGUGCAUCUCUGUACUACUACUUAUGCCAAAAAUAAUAAUCAAGCAUUGCUGCUAUGUAGUAGUGAUGUGUGUAUGGUGUCGUUGGUAACCUCAGCAAACCUUCCUGCAUGUCAGAAGCUUGCUGAAACUAAUUUGGUUACCCAGUGUUUGGCAAAAGCUGGGGUAAUGAAGUGAAGAGUAACAAAUGACAAUCCUUUUCUCCAUUGAGAUGGGCUGGUGGCUUGUGAUGGUCUCAGGCUGGAUAUCUAGGGCCAGUGAGAACUCCAAAGGUGGCCUUCUGUAUGGAGAAAUUCUUCCUCCAUUUUUGGUCAUCCCACUUGUAGCAGCACAGGGUAGUCUUGCCAAUGGUAAUGCACAGCAGACUUGGACCCCAUUGCCUUGGCAAGGAAUUGUGGGCCUCAAUAGCACUUUUCUUUGUUCCAUUGCUGAGUCCCAAGACAAGGCGUAGGUUAUGUGUAUUGUGGAUCCUUUGCUGACACAUAACUUUGUCACCAACCAAGAAGGCAAGCCUGAGAAAGCAUGCAAAGCUUUCUGAUAUGGAUAAAAGUAAUAAAAAAAUCAAAGCAGUUGGAGCUUUGGGAGUAUGAGCAUCCAGAGGCAGCACGUUAAAACACAGAGGGUUGAGCAGCUGCCCAUGUGAGAGCACCUGUGGGUCUGAAGUUAUUCAGUGCGUGUGUCCUGUCGGACAUGCAGAGAGGUGUGUGGGCCACUUCCAAGCUCGGGGAGAUGGAUCCCAUGCACUAGUCUGCCAUCUAACUGGCAUCUGGCCCAAGACCACUGUUUUGGAAAGUGAUGAGUUUACCAGCCUGCAUGCACAUCAUGCUAUGUGCUGAAGGGGCAGAGCAAGUAAGUGCUUUGGCAUGCUCCUUUUUGUAUUGGAAACAUAUUAUAAUUAUGUUAGGCAGAACUAAGUACCUAUGGAUGUUUCAUGAGUGCCAACAGCUGAUUGGGAAAUCAUAUAUACUGCACUGUUGAAAUUGUUGUAAACAGCAGUGUUAAUCAUAACAUUUCUCAGCUUUCUCUGCAGCAGGAUCAUUGCACAGGAAUUCCUUUGAAGGUAAAGCCAUAGUAACAAAAUUAAGGCAACAUCAGUCCUUGCUCUCAAAAGAUGAUCAAAGAUUAGAUUCACAUUUAUCAGUCCUUUAUCUGGGUUUUUCCUCACUGUCUUUCUUGUUCUUUCUCCCUAUCUAGUUUGAAGAACCUUUUCUUAAUAAUGAAAAUUGGGCCAAUUUGAAUGGAGCUAACAAAAACAACUCCAAUUUUUUCCAUUCUUCCCUCACUCUGUCUUAUGCUAGAAACAUCCAUUUUUCUGAGUAUCCUAGAGCUGUGGGGAUGAGAUUCCCUGGGACAGCAGGAGCAAUAUCUUUAAUCACCUAAUAAAUGAGUGUAUUUAAAUGGCCAUCAUACAAAUCUUUGCUAAUCACUCUAAUCAUUGGGCAAUGAUGGAAAGAGGAACACUUCAAUCUUCCUUAUGGAGAGAUUGGUACACUUCAUGUAUACUCUGGACAUGCCUCAAGAAUUGAGCUCUUAAGGUAACAGGCCUGGGCCUGGAGGAACACUUCACUUGGUUUAUUAGGCGUGAAAUAGGUGUUGAGUUUUCAGAGCUAUCAGGAGCACGUUUCUCCUGACAAGUCCCAGGUGUAGCAUUCUAGGUGUCAGGUGAGCUCUGGUAUCAGAAAUUUAGCCAGCUGCCGAGCUUCUCUACAGACUGAACAGACACCAGAUGGUGAUGCUGCUGAGCUGUGCUUCCACUUAAUGCCUGAAAUGGAAGUUGGGACUCCUCUGCGGUGAGACUUUUAAAGGAAGUUUGGAUUAAGCUAUUUAAUACUAGCUUUAACUGUAGUAAAACAGUUGAUUUAACUAGUUUUUAACUGUAGUAAAACUAAUAAUUGAUAAAUGCAAUAGCUGACAGCAGGGCCCUUCAUUUUUUUCCCCUCAAGCCUGGAAAGAAUGUUAUUAUGUUGCAAUUAUCUUUGUGUGUCUGAAAAUUUUAAAUUUUUCAAUAUGUCUCUGGUUUAAGUCAAUUUUAAAUGGUGUUCAGUGUAAAUAAUAGUCUUUCUUAUGAAUAAGUAGUUCUGAAAAAAAGUCAGAUUAAAUAUUGCUCAACUGACAGAGCAUGGAAAAAUCACAUGGUGAGAAGGCCAAGUAUCCUUAUGAUGUAACUUUGUCUUAUAUAUCAAGUCAUAAUUUUGUUUGAGAAUACAUGUUUGUUUACAGCUGUUGGCAGCCUCUGCUUUUCAUCUUUAUGACCUUCAAGUGUGUCUGUUCAGGAGAACAUCAACUCAAAGCCAUUUUCUUGUACUUGCUUUCCAGAUAGAAUCACUGUGUCUCCUUUGUGUUUAGAGAAUCCAGAAAGCUGUUGUAUGAGAAUUUGCCUUUUUUUUUUUUUGUUUUGGCUUUUAAUUUUCUUUCUUUCAUGUAUUAUUAUGUGAAAUAAAUGGGCAGAUCUUUCUCCUUUUUAAUGCCUUUAUUAAGAAGAAUCAGCUCAGGUGGGGAGAAAUCGACAGGUCGCGCCCACGCCGCUGCUGCUCCCAGGCGUGGCACGGAGGAGGAGGGUGAUGCAGCUUUGUCCGCUGGUUUGCAGACAGAGCUGGGGAUUCUGUCCGGGAGAUUAGCAGAUUCCUGGUUUUUUGUCUAACACCCUGGGGCAUCUCUUUAAUCAACAUCUUUUUAGGUUAGGGUGAGAAGCAAAAAGGAUCCAAGCAGGUACGGGACUACGCUCCCAUCCUUAGAUGUCACUUAGGUCACUUGUUGGCUCGUGAUUUUAGUGGUUUUCCUGGGAAAAACUGUAAAAAUUUGGGGCGCAGUGCAUUUCUCAUCUGCAUACUGGCUCUGAUGUCACUCCUAUUCUCUUCACCUGGAGGGUCUGUCCUGGUGUCCCUCCCUGGCAAGCAGCCAGCAUCAGGGGGACAAUGGUUAAUCAUCAGCCAUCAACAGGUAAUUGAAGAACUCCUCCUUAGCGCAGAAACUAGCUUGCAGCAACUGGUCUGACUUGUUUUUAACUCUGCAACCUAAAAAAAUAUAACUUUCUGUUCAUAACAUUAUGUGUUUAUAUAUGCUGUAAAUGACAAAUAAAUCCAAAACUUUGAACUGAUGCUGAACUAUAAAGUCUUUAGGCUUUUCUUACAUGAGCACAGCCAAUUUAUUCCAUAUGUUAAUGAAAAGCUCACUUGUAAAUUCUGUUUAUGUGUUAAAAACAAAUGUCUUAUCAAGACUAACAUCUACUCCUCAUGAUUUUAAGGAAUUUUUGCCUAUGAAUUUCAUUUCAGUCUUGGAAGAAGGUGUAGGAAGGUAGGCCUACUGAAGGGACUGACCAGCCUAAAACCUGUGGCUUUCAAAGAAGCAUAGUGUUUUUUCACUAACCUGGUCCCUCCACAAUCUGAGGUCUCUUUGUCUUUGUUUUGUUUUGCUGAAAGUGUUAAUACUAUGCCCAGGACAAACUACUGCCUUGGAAACAACAUACUUUUUGACUUUGCAGGUCACACGUUUGCAUAUUCUCAAGUCAAUGGUACUUUUAGUUAUCGUCUAAACUCUUGCUUUGACAAGGACUAUUUUUUGGUGCAACUGGUUUUUUGUAUUAAUAAUACCACAUUUGGUAUGGGAAAUAAAGUGUGUCAUGGCUUCUGGUGUGUGUGAAGGCAAGGAAAGGACAUUUCUUACUUUGGACUUGUCAUUCUACAGCUGUGGAAAAGUGGACUUGAUACUUGAGAGCAUUCUAUUUGUUUCUAUACAUUUGUAAUCACUAAUGAACUCCAGACAGGCUAUGCUAUUUCUGGUUUAAAUUCUGAUAUAUAUAUAUGGAGAUAUCAUUCAAGUAUGUGUACCUUCAGGAACCCGAGAUGGGAGUCAUGCCCAGACUACAGUCAACUAAGCUUCUGCAUCUCAAAAGAAGUUUCCACAUUCACGUGAGGCGCCUCAGAUGCCAAUAUAAUGAAGAGAUCAGUAUGGGGAACAGAGUGGGAUUCAGUUGCAUUAAUUCAGCUCAACACUCUUAAAAGAUUAUUCAGCUGAUCAUCUCAGCUGGAAGCAAGUGAACAAGGAAGUCAAUCUGCAAAUUUUCAUUUGGACAGAAGGGAUUUUCAUGCUCACCACACUGAUUCACAGAGAAGAAAUGGAGCUAUUAGUUCUGUACUUGUAAUUCUACUGCUCCCAUAUCACCAAGACUACCUGCAAGAAAUCCAAAUACCUGAAGAGUGAAGCAGGUGUAGUUGAGAUGAAGAACUUUUUAUAUAAAAACAAUGGAUUAUGCUUAGAUAAAAAAUGUUUUUCUUGAUGGUUUUUCUCUUCCAUCUUCUUCACAGUUGCACAUCUAAAAUAAUCUGCUGCCAAAACUCAGCUACAUUAAAUGGAGAAAUUAAAUUAGUCUGGAUAAAACUGUAAGAGCAGUUUUAAACUUAUAUAACAUUUAUACAUUCAUAAGAACAUCUUAAUGUUUAUGUGGAUGAUAGCAUAUAUUUGCACCUUUAUAAUAAUAGUUAGAGGCUAAUAAUUAAUAAAAUUAAUUAAUUAUUAAUUAAUUAAUUUUCUAAUUUUCUAUUGGUCUCCUGUGGCAAGAGAAAUAUUACGGACUUACAGAACAAUGUGUCAUUCCCUCUUUC